UCUGCCUACGGGGCGCAGCAGUCGGGAAUAUUGCACAAUGGAGGAAACUCUGAUGCAGUGACACCGCGUAUAGGAAGAAGGUUUUCGGAUUGUAAACUAUUUUAGACAGGGAAGAAAAAAGACAGUACCUGUAGAAUAAGCUCCGGCUAACUACGUGCCAGCAGCCGCGGUAAUACGUAGGGGGCAAGCGUUAUCCGGAUUUACUGGGUGUAAAGGGAGCGUAGACGGCGCGGCAAGUCUGAAGUGAAAGGCAGGGGCUUAACCCCUGAACUGCUUUGGAAACUGCCAUGCUAGAGUGCUGGAGA
rnacentral:rRNA from 1 species